AAGACUUAGGUACAUUCUUGACUGCAAAAAGUGCAAAACCCCAUUGAGUUCACUGGAACUGUUUGUUUCAUGGCAGGAGAGCAAGCUUUGUAUUACCUGAGGUAGAGAACAUGUGUUCCUGUACCCUACAUAGAGUACAGUCUCUGCUGUGAGACAGCAUUCUGAAAAUGAAGUGCAAAGUGGUACAAUUGUGACAAAAUUCCCCAAACCUUUUGGUGUGGAAUAGCUUAAUAGCUCACCUUAAACUGUUUUCUGCUGUCAGCUACUUUUGAUCAUGUAUAAUCCAUGCAAUAGUGUAAUUACAACAAAAAAAUCAGUUAAGCAAGGAAAGCAAGCAAUGUUCUUACCUUUGAAUGAGAGGAGAAAAGUAACCAACUCCUUUUAAAGGUGGGUUGGAGGAAGUAAAUCAGAGAACAUGCAAAGGUUUGCACAGCUGGUUGUCUUCGAGCGGUAGCUAACACAGAGAAUUAACCUGGUUCAAUGAGAUGGCAUGAACAUGUUUUGAGCAUCAGACCUGGUAAGUGGUACUGCAUAAGUCAAUGCACAGUGUGCGGUUGUACAGCCUCGCUGUGCCAGUUCAAGUGGACUGAAUGUGUUUUGAAAGAGUGACUGUGUGUGGGGUUAGGUACUGGCUUUCUUGGGCAAUGCCCAAUGCUUGGGAAGCAAAGGGAGUAUUCCUACAUACUUUCUUUGUUCCUAUGCUUUCCUCAAGGCAUCUAUUUUUGGACUCUGUCAAGUGUUAAAGCACUGAGCUGCAUGGCUUUCUGGUCUGAGCUACUGUAAUCACUUCUAUUUUCUUAUCUGAAGUGUGACUUGAAAAGAGAGCCUAUUCUGUGAUGCCUAUCUGGAAUAUAAGGUUUUGCAUAGCCACUUUGGCUCCAGGCCUAUCACCUGCAAAUUUGUCCCUAUCAGCUGUUAACUGAAUGGGCAUGCAGGAGCUGUGGAGAUGAAGACAAAGUGCCAGCUGGCUGUAAGAGCAUGCUUUUGUCCUCUCUAGUUACUAAUAAGUACCUUAACUGUCUGUUUGAAUAUAAUAAAGCUUUAUUUUAUGAUUUUUUUUUUUUUUUAGUCUGAAUUUUGCUUAGCUUGAGUAGUGAUUUUCAGAGUAAUAUGGCAAAUAGAAAAGUGUUCAUUCCAUAGGGAUUCCUGGAGCUAGAAAGGGAAUAAUUGAUCUCACUGGAGGUGUUUUAUAUCCCACAUGAUGUUGCAUUACAGUUAACUGUCUGCAGAUGUUUUCUCCUCUAAGUUGCAGGUCCCUUUUUCAAAGUUGGUGGUGUAAAAUAUCAAGUUGAAUAUGAAAUUGAGUAUCAAGAGUUACCACAUUCUACAAGACAGACUGGGAGGAGACACCCUGGAUUCACUUGUCCAGUUCUGAAGUUAUUUGAAUAAAACCCAGACUUAGGUAAAGAUUCAUCUUUCUGAAUCCAUUUUAUAAUUGUUUUAAGAGAGAUAUGACUUUAUCUCACACUAAAGCCGGUGCUCCAGGAAUUUCCCAACCUGCAGUUUGUCUUAUUACAUGUUGAAAAUAUGUUACAGGGGUAGAGCCUGGAGUUUUCCAGCUUCUGUGCAAAGCAGCCUUGCAUCUUAGCUGGGCACCCAAGUGAAGGAGUGUUGCAGUGGUAGGCGGACAUUUCAGGUUGGUGUUGGCAUUGAGCUCAGUGAACAAACAAGAAGCUGAUUUAUUGUGUUUUAGGAAGCGCUGAGGCAUGUGCAAUUAACACAGCUAUAGCAUUAGCAGUGCUAACUCCCACUGGCAUCUCGUCCUGCAACUGUAUGGCAGUUUCCGAGCCAACAAGGCUUUAGGCUGUGAUUCAAGCCAUGAGGACAAGGUCAGCCCAAGAAGGUAAACAAAGCAGUAGAUUGUGUAUUACUGUAUAAUGCACCUUCCUGCCCUCCCAACAUUUCCAUUAAGGUUGAAUAGCUGAGCUUUUCUGCAGUGUUAUUUUCACUUUCAUGCUUGUAACUGGAGUGCUAAAUACUGCAACUUUUUAGUCCAUUCAGUAUUUCAGUAUGUUUUAAAGUUCAGUUUCAUAGGUUUUCGAAGCAUAAUAAGAGGACAAAUUUUAUCCUGCAAUGUCAGGUUGGCAUACAAGUUGUCUGCAUGAUUAAACCUUUAGAGCUGUCAGGGGCACUAAUGGAGUCACUAUUACUAUGAACAGGCUUAUACCCUGUAUUUUAAGUAGUGCCAGAAGUUUGCCAGUGGGUCUAAGGUGUGCGUAAUUUUAAGAAAAAUCCAUUUCACUACCUUUACAUACACGUUUAAAUUAUCAUUAAGAAUAGAUAUUUUAUAAAAUGGUAUUUAUUGUCAGUUUUAGUAUCUGUCAACACAUUUUUAUACAGAUUCAGUCCGUACAAUGCUGCUUGUUAUGAGUUUAUGCAUUUUCAUGUUGUAUGGGUGUAUAACUUUGUAUGGUGGUUUAUUUGACCCGUCUUAAAACUUUGCUGUAGUGAUGGGAUCUGAAAGGAAAUACUGGGAAUUUACUCAAACAAAACCAGAUUAUGUGACUUCCUCAAGUCAAAUGGGAAGCUUGUUUGUGGUAACCUCUUGUGUCAGCUGUGACACAGCCAGCUACUUUCCCUGGCAGGCAAAGGCUCUUGAAACCAAUAGAACUCUAUUCAGGCAGAAAUAAAGAUAAAUAAAGAUAAAAGCCAUGAGAGGUGUCCUGGAUACAUCUUCUCUUGUGAAUUGGUUUGAUAGCCAGUAAUUAUUGCAUCUGGUUACCUGUGUCCAAGAUUACGCUUAUGCUUGCAUUGCCGUCAUACCCUCUUGCAACUUCAACCAUACGAUUCUGUGACUAUUUUUUCCCCCAAAUGAACUUCAAAAUGUUGUAGUGAUUUGAAACCUAAGAUGAUAAAGGCCCAUGAAGAGUGAUGUCCUUUCUGUCAAACUAGUAAUUUCCCUUCUGUCUUGCUCUAAAGCAGUUUCAUUUCAUGUGCUGCCAUUCUUGGGCUCUGAUGUCUACCAGUGGCUAAUGGGACCUGACAAUGGAAGGUUAUCAGCACUGAAGAAACAAUUUCCUUGAAGUCUCUGCAGAGCAGCAUACCUAUGUGACAGGUUCCAUCCUUGAGGAAACAGCUAUCCUUGGAAACUGCCCUGCUACUCUCUCCAAUCUCUGUGUGUUACUCAGCACCAGCUAAUUGGCAUGGUGUAUUUAAAGAGUGGCUACAAAGAAGAUGGAGACUCCCUUUUUACGAUUAGUCACACGAAAAAGAUGAGGGGUGAUGGCACACAUUAUUCCUGGGGACAUUACAACUGGAUACAAGAGAAAAUUUUUCUCAGAACAAUCAGCCAUUGGAAUAAUCUCCCCAGGAAAGUGGUGGAUUCUCCAACAUUGGACACUUAAUAGUCAGCUGGACAGGGUGCUGGGACAUCUAGUCUAGGAAAAGCUUUGCCUGGGAAAGUUAGACCAAGAUGAUGCUGGAGGCCCCUUCUAACCCAGAAUUCUAUGAUUUCAUGUAUGAUGUGGCUGGAUGUUCUAGGUGGGAUUUUGGAGAUGUAGGCAUUUGGGCCUGAAAGUCUUCCCAUAUUUAAGAGUCACUGGAGAGCCUGGAUUUCACAGUCCUUAUCUGCUUGCUAUGGCUCCUGGUCAGUAUCAACACCGGUAGUGACACAAGAUAGAAGGACUUGAAUUUAGAAGUUGAUAACUUCCACAGAUAAAAUUUUCUGCUAUUAAUCUUAGUUACUGAUCCAGUGAGCUUUCCAGAGUUACUGCUGAGGUAUUGCUCACUCUCAUAAUUGAAAGAGAGAUUACUUAACAGCUGUAUUUGCUUAUGUUCUGAUUGUUUUCUUUAUUUGUUGGUAUUUACUUCUGAAUUUGUGCAGCUUGCUGGCCAGGAUUCCAGGGGAAUAGCGUGUCCUCCUUUUCCAAGGACAGCGAAAUCAGGAGCUGAGUACCAGCACACUGACACACAAGGCUUGGAUGUACAAACACAGGUCAGCAGGAAUGGGAACAUGUCAGAAACUGGACCACCAGGAGUUCAGGCUGUAGAGGCCAUCGAAUGUUCACAGAUUAAAUGCUAGAGAUCCUGAUGGUUCACAUACAAACCUUUCCAAAACUGAAUUCAGAAUCAGCCUUUCAGAAGAGCUUGUAGGAAUCCAGGGAGGAAGCCCAGAGGAAGGCAAAUCAGUCACACAUUCAGAGAUUACAGGAUUGUUGUGUGUUUGUGUAAAUUCAGUUAAAGUCAUUGCAUUUACUUUCUGCAACAAAAGAGCCAGGAUCCUCUGGGCAAGAUCUGAUUCAUUGCACAAUCCUGACUCAUCUCCAUGCCGUGGUCCAUUCUGUGCACUGAGCAGCUAUAUACAGCUCUUAUACCAACAAGCUGGAUAUGCUUCCUUAAAAAUGAUGGAAGAGAAUGACAAACUCAUCCCUGAGAGGCCUCGUGAUCCAGGUAUUUCCCUGCCUCUCUAACCUGACGUGGCUCCAGUGACUGCUUUGGACAACUGUAUGUCUGUGCUGGUGCUGAGUGGGUAGGUUAAAUGGAUAAAAUCCUAAAACAGUUCGUGAGGUGUGUGGAAGAAGAGUGCUGAGAUGGAGAGAAGGUAUUCUGGUUGCAAAGAGGCUUAGGGGAAUUUACUGGUAGGGAAAGGAAGCCUGAUUUACCUCUGGAAGGAUGUCUUGCUGUUUCCCACCACUGACCUGGACUGCUGGUAGUGUGAUCCUCACCUGUGAAAGACAACAGGAUGCCCUCCACCGUGAAAGGUUAAGAAGUGCACUGCACCAUAAUCAGUGUAACACUUCCCUCCUUAAAAAGACCAAGAUAAAAUCAGUUCCUCUCUUCCUUUUCCUCAUGGGUGACAAAGCUGUAUGUAUGUAUGACAGUGUCUGUGAAGGUGCUAAGUGUCUCUGCUGGGACUGUCAGCGAGUGCUCAGUGCAUAAACAGGAUAGUUCCUAGUGGUUUUCUCAUGUCUGUGGUCCUUUAGAUACUUUUGGAACUCUUCGAGAUGCAAGUGUGCUCUCUAACUCCCAGUUUUUGGAGCAUGGUGCAGCAGUGUAGGUGGCACCAUUAAUAUAUUAAAGGUCUGCAAGUCUAUCCUGAGACAGGGACAUUUUGCAUAAGCACCCAUGUGUGGAGUGUAACAACAGCGUGCUGUGGCAAUAAGGGCCUGGUUCAGGUCUGCUGCAACAGCUUUGCUCAUGGUUGGGUGGCUGGGGCUGUUCCAGGUGGGAUGUGCACUAGUAUACAGAAGCAUGGGUUGCAUGAGCCGUGUCCUGUAAGAUGAUCUCAUGACUGGAAACCCUUAGGAUACUGUCUUGGUGCUCCUGAGGGACCCUCAGCACCCUAGAAAGUAGUCCCAGAGCUCAGUCUUGCAGACCAUCAGGGGCUUCAGGUUCUCAAGGACCAGUGUGUCACUGGUAUAGGGCAUUACAGGCCUACCAGCACUGCUUCAGUGGUUGGAAGAAUUUCUGUCCUUCCUGCAUUUCAGUCAGACAGAAUCACCCUUCACAUUACCCAUGCCAAGAGGAGAGAUUGAGAACUCAGUGCCAGCACUGAGAAACAGAAGAUCAAGUGUUUGAUGGAUUUUUGUGCCCUAGGGUGGAGCACACUCACUGAAUCUGUAGGUGCAGUAAAUGUGAAGAGCCUCUGGCACGCAGGAGCUGAGAGUGACAGAGCAUUCAUGGACUUGAGCUCACCAGCUCCCAGAAGUGUUUACAGAACAUAUUUGCACUGAGAUUUUCAGAGGCUUGUUGCUUGGCCCAAAUUUGUGCAGUGACUCAUAGGAGCAGUGAGAAACACAUCCCAGAUGCAGACAGCUCCUCUGUUAGAUUUUGAGGCUCUGCAUCACACUUUUUACCAGAACAGUCUUGUGUUUCUUUUAUGAAGAUGAGCAUUCGUCAAUGUUUCAUUCUCACUGACAGCUGAACCCAUGUUUUAAUAAACAAGCAAACAAAAUACCCUUCAGGUCCUCGGCAGUCAGCCAGCACAGAAAAUCUCUCUCAGACAGUUAAGGAUAAAAGUUUUAAUGUACUGACCAUACUGAUAACAAACCUAAUAAUGAAAGUGUCAUUAACUUCACUAUGUGUGUGCACAUGAUCAGACCAACAGGAGUUAUGACAGGGAGUAAAUUACAAGCUACUAAAUUAAUGAGAUCUUGUAUCUUCUAUUUCUGCAGCUAUGUUCCUCAAAUCAGUUUAGUGAUGCAAAGCAUUAGUUCUAGCAAGCCUAGUGCAGAAAAGCAGCUUUGCAGGUCUAAGUGAUACUAAUAAGGAGAGACACUCCUGGCGUUCAGGUUAAAGAGGGCUACACUUCUGAUGUGGAAGUGCUUCAUUUUUCUCUCCUCAAAAAGAGCGUAUGUAUUUCUGGCUGGAACCAGGCAAUUCUGCCUCUCAAGGAAACACGGUUCUGCAGCUGGUUAGCUAAUGGGAGGUGGUUUGCCUCUGUUGCUGAGCUCAGAACUCAAUUUGAACUGGGAGUUGACAGCUACUGCCUCUCAGAAAUGCCCCCCUAAAGAAGCUCCUGGCCCUGCACCAGCCCGAUGGCAUGCUGUGUGCCCACUCACCAUCUUGGGUGUGUUGUGUUGCUGAUCUGUCUUCUAAAUCAUGCAUGAAGCCCCUCCAGUAACGUCAGUACAACAGCGCAGUGAGUCAAAUUGUGCACAUCAAGGGAAAAAUGUUUUUCAAAAUGUUUUUCAGCUUUAAAAUUGCUGAACAGACGUGCUUUGGUUUUGACUCAAACCCAUUCAAGUUUAAAUGCAAAAACAGCUGAGCCAAAUGGGAGUGUUUUGGGCACAAAAACCCCACUGGAGCCAAUGAGGAAUGGUAGGCUUGUUUUGUUCUCACACCAGUGCAUCAAUUCUGUGUAAAGUAUUUUCCCUAAAUUAACUUCUAUUCUAGGACAGUGUAUGAAAAAAAUAGCAAUAGGAGAGGUUUAAGUGAGGAUCACAGUAAAAGUUUAAUUCAGCUUUAACAAGCCAGCAUGCUGUAGCCACAACUAUCUGCCAUGUAUAAUGCAUGCCUUUUCAAACACUGUAGAGAGCCCUGGAACCUGUUUGUCAAAGGAUAAUUCAUCUAAUGUUACUUGAAAACCUUUCUUUGCCUCAACUAUAUUGUGAAGUUGACCUAAAUCCACAGGAAUGGGAUUUUUUUAAUCUUGAAGAGUACUUAUUUCGAAUUGCUUAUUUAAAGAUUUUCCCAUAUAACAACCACAUGCCCUAGAUGUGAACCCCUUGCCCCACAGUGAUUCAGGGUCAUAUUAGAUUAGAGAGUAACUCUUGAAAGGUGGCUGCUCAUGUUAGCAAAAUCAGCAUAUCACAAGUACACCAUUAGCAUAGACAGUACAGGAAUUUAUGCUUUGAGCAACUGGAUCUUUUAACAUUCACAUAAUCACUUUUUUCUCCCUCCUGAUGGAAUUUCCAGAAUGUAGUAGGAAACUAAGUUAAAGAUACCUGCUUUCUGAGGAGAGGAUGCUGCUCUCUAGGAUAAAAAUGCAGGAUGCUUGCCCAGAGAAGCUUCCUUGCCAAAAGAAAAGUACUUAUGCAAUUGAGAGCUCUGCCUU